rnacentral:rRNA from 1 species
CAGCCGCCGCGGUAAUACGUAGGGUGCAAGCGUUAAUCGGAAUUACUGGGCGUAAAGCGUGCGCAGGCGGUUAUAUAAGUCAGAUGUGAAAUCCCCGGGCUUAACCUGGGAAUGGCGCUUGUGACUGGCGGGCUAGAGUAUGGCAGAGGGGGGUAGAAUUCCGCGUGUAGCAGUGAAAUGCGUAGAUAUGCGGAGGAACACCGAUGGCGAAGGCAAUCCCCUGGGCCUGCACUGACGCUCAUGCACGAAAACGUGGGGAGCAAACAGGAUUAGAGACCCCUGUAGUCCCUGUCUCUUAUAC